AGGUCACACCGUUCACACCCGUGUGCACGGCAGGAUGGUGCAUCAUGUGAGGGCAUCCUUCAGUGAAGCACGGACGUAUCGGACACCCCUGUAUUUCGAGAUGCAGUUCGAGCAACGAUUGCCAUCUUAGUCGGGGUUCUACGGAAUCAAGCAACCAGGAGGGUCUUGCACUCCGUGCUUGCCGCGCGAUUACCUCGCAGUGUAUCGAUUCUGAAAUAAAAUGUUUCUCUUUUCACGUGA